AUUGAACGCUAGCGGGAUGCCUUACACAUGCAAGUCGAACGGAGUGGCGAACGGGUGAGUAAUGUAUCGGUAUGUGCACAGUCGCGGGGGAUAACUAUGCGAAAGCGUAGCUAAUACCGCAUACUAUUGGAGCGGCCGAUAUCGGAUUAGCUAGUUGGUGGGGUAACGGUUCACCAAGGCGACGAUCCGUAGCUGGUUUGAGAGGACGACCAGCCACACUGGGACUGAGACACGGCCCAGACUCCUACGGGAGGCAGCAGUGGGGAAUUUUGGACAAUGGGGGAAAGCCUGAUCCAGCCAUCCCGCGUGUGCGAUGAAGGCCUUCGGGUUGUAAAGCACUUUUAGCGGGGAAGCGGUACCUGCAGAAUAAGCACCGGCUAACUACGUGCCAGCAGCCGCGGUAAUUC
rnacentral:rRNA from 1 species